UACGUAGGUGGCAAGCGUUGUUCGGAAUUAUUGGGCGUAAAGGGCGCGUAGGCGGCUUGUUAAGUCGGCUGUGAAAGCCCGGGGCUCAACCCCGGAGGGUCAGCCGAUACUGGCAGGCUAGAGUACGGAAGAGGUAGCUGGAAUUCCCGGUGUAGCGGUGAAAUGCGUAGAUAUCUGGAGGAACACCGGUGGCGAAGGCGGCGUCCUGGACCAACACUGACACUGAUGAGCGAAAGCCAGGGGAGCAAACGGG
rnacentral:rRNA from 1 species